rnacentral:rRNA from 1 species
CCUACGGGGGGCAGCAGUCGAGAAUCAUUCACAAUGGGGGAAACCCUGAUGGUGCGACGCCGCGUGGGGGAAUGAAGGUCUUCGGAUUGUAAACCCCUGUCAUGUGGGAGCAAAUUAAAAAGAUAGUACCACAAGAGGAAGAGACGGCGAACUCUGUGCCAGCAGCCGCGGUAAUAAAGAGGUCGCAAGCGUUGUUCGGAAUCACUGGGCGUAAAGCGUGCGUAGGCUGUGUCGUACGUCGUGUGUGAAAGGCGCGGGCUCACCCCGCGGACGGCACAUGAUACUGCGAGACUAGGGUAAUGGAGGGUGAACCGGCAUUCUCGGUGUAGCCGU